AUGGAGGAAAAAGGUCUGAUAUUGAUAUUCCACUGUGGGAGUAAAAGAGGUGGGGAGUCAGGUUUCUGAUACAAUUGAAAUUCUGCUUAAAAAACAGGGUCAAUUGUUUUGCAUGGGAAGUAUAUCCUCUGACGCACUCUGGAAAAGUAAAUUAGAACUUUUAUCAGCAAUAGGUGCGACUUUUAAUGUGAAAAUACACCAAAUGUAUCGGCCUUAGUCCCAAAUCGUGGUAGCAGCAGAUAAAAGUGACUCUCAGAUUGGCCCAAAUUCAACCUGGAGUCAGGUGUGAGCAUUAGCAGGAAGCUGCUCACUGGGAACAGAUCAACAGGAAGUGACAAAUCCAAAUGUACAGAUCCACACCUGUGGUUUUCCAUCAUAACGGUCACGAUCUUUAUCAGCAGAUGGAGUUUGCUCAGAGCCAGAUCCACUGAUGAAGACUGUGAGAUGCAGUAGAAAGCUCCAGAGAAAGCCAUCCCCAACAUGGAGGCGCUGGUGUCGAUCACAAACACCACAUUCUUGGGCACAACUGGCAGAUCUUUGGGGGCGAAGUAGUGGACGAAGUGACCGUUUAACACCUGGGAAAGAAAGAAGUUUACAGACAACAGGCGGCGAGUUGCAGCGGUCAAGUGUGAUUUAGCAAAACAUAGUUUGCUUCUGAAGACAGAAGAGUUUGGCAGCGGAGCGACUGCAGUGGCAGGAAACCAGAGAAGUGAAUCACUAACAGGUGGGUGGAUGAGUGUGCGUGUGUAAAGUUGGAUGGGAUUGUUGUGUGCACACUUCCAAAUAUGAAAGCUAAUGCUUUUCCAGUCUGCUUUAAUCCAUCAAAGCCUUCGCGUAUCUCUGCUUUUAUUAUGCAUGUGCUUCUCAGAGUUGGUGAAAGCAGUGUUGCGCACCUGAAUGUCUCCGAUCCCCAUCUCUCUCUGCACGUCGUAGCGGAUCACAAAGUCUCCCAGGAUGCCGUUGGUGGUGAUCUUGGCCUGUUGGACGAUGUUGGGGUUGAAGGUGAUCUUGCAGACGUUCUUCUCGUUUUUGACGGCGGUGGUGACGGGAGGAUCGAGCUUGGCUGAGGCACAAAGACAGGAAGUCCAGAGCUCCUGCCGUUGCGGAGCGGCAGCACCUGGAGGUCCGUGAUGGGCGAGUGGUCGACGAUAGUGACGUCCAGGCUGAGGCGGCUGACCAGCUGCAGCGGCCGCAGGCUGGUCACGUGCUCGUAGCGUCCCAGCCGCCGCUGCAGGAGCUCCUCGUAGGUCAGAAGGAACACGGCCCGGUUCCGACCCGGGAUGCUGGCCGCCAUCCUGAACACCUCGGCCUCCGGCUCUGGGCUGGAGGUCGAGGACAGAGGUGGACACGGUGUACUCUACUUAUAAUUUUAAUGUAACCUUGUUGUUUUUGCACUUUAUUUUUCAAUGUAUUUAUUAUAUUUAUAUUGUUCCAUCAAAGAUUUGACAUUCUGUGUGAACAUCGUUGUAGUUUUUCCAGAGUUUGUCGCUAUUACUUUCUGCCACAGCAUCUUAUUUGAUUCUUCCACUAGGGGGCGCCAGAGUUGGAAAUAUUCAAAUUCUUCACAUCGUAACUUUAAUAUUAGAAAUGUAAACUUAAAAACAUUGAGAAGUUGUUUUUGUUUACUCUGGUGACUCUUCUGGUUGAAUUAUACAUUUUAGAGCUUUUUUAAUGACAUUACUCAUUAAUGUAUCGCGUCACCAGAUAAAACAAAUCAGCCGUAAACAGAAAAACAUUCGAUAUAAAGCGAGAAGAAGAAGCAAACAUUAGUAAAGAGUCUGAGUGGUGACUUCAUGAGUCUCACAUCCUCCCUCCCUCGGUGAAUCACCAAAUCUCAUUUAAUAAAAUGUCACUUUUCAUAUGACAGCUGGAAACGUGAAGUCACUUCUUCCAUAUGUCACCUCUUGGGUCACAGAUUUAUACGACAAUCCUCGUCUCUGGAGAAAUUAUCUUAUUACACACACACGCACACAC